rnacentral:rRNA from 1 species
UCUACGGGAGGCAGCAGUGGGGAAUAUUGCACAAUGGGCGAAAGCCUGAUGCAGCGACGCCGCGUGAGGGAUGACGGCCUUCGGGUUGUAAACCUCUUUCAGCAGGGAGGAAGCGCAAGUGACGGUACCUGCAGAAGAAGCGCCGGCUAACUACGUGCCAGCAGCCGCGGUAAUACGUAGGGCGCAAGCGUUGUCCGGAAUUAUUGGGCGUAAAGAGCUCGUAGGCGGUCUGUCGCGUCUGGUGUGAAAUCCCGAGGCUCAACCUCGGGCUUGCAUCGGGUACGGGCAGACUAGAGUGCGGUAGGGGAGACUGGAAUUCCUGGUGUAGCGGUGGAAUGCGCAGAUAUCAGGAGGAACACCGAUGGCGAAGGCAGGUCUCUGGGCCGCAACCGACGCUGAGGAGCGAAAGCAUGGGGAGCGAACAGGAUUAGAUACCCUGGUAGUCCAUGCCGUAAACGUUGGGCACUAGGUGUGAGGCUCAUUCCACGAGUUCCGUGCCGCAGCUAACGCAUUAAGUGCCCCGCCUGGGGAGUACGGCCGCAAGGCUAAAACUCAAAUGAAUUGACGGA